CCUAAUAACACGUAAUAUUGGCACUGAGUCAGAAUGCUGUCAGAAAACCACCUAAUGGUCUUGAGCUUAUAAAAUGGUUUCCCGUCCAUAUAUCGGCAUUCCAAAGCCCGUACAUUCAAGUCUUAGUUUUAGUUUCACUGAAACCAUUAGCAAAGAAUUACAAUAAACUUUCACGAAGUAUUUUGAUUCUUUUGCAUAUUGACACUCAAAUAACGGACACGUGAUAUUCAUCUUAGACCAACAGAAACUAACCUUGAAACAAAGGUGAGAAGAAGGGUUUUCAAAAGUGAGACUUAUAAAAACUCUCUGCAACAGCAAAAAAAUGGAGAGCAUAACUUUAAAGACAGGAAUUGAAGAAGUAUUUUUCGUAACUAAAGAGGAAAUGCUAGAUGCACUACCAUUCUUAGAGGAAUUGAGAAUUUAUCUUGAUUUUUGGUUUCUUUACAAAGUGU